AUGAGGGUGGCCAUUCUGAUCUACGAAGCCAUUUCGAAAUUCGAAUAACGCUGUUAUCAUAUGUGUUCAAUCACGUCACGUGAACUUCAGUCCACCAUCCUCUGGAGUGUAAAUUGAAUUGAUGUCGGUAGACUUUCGACUGUUCUUUCGCCGUGGAAUGGGAAUUAUGUUAAGGAAGAACUAUUACUGGGUUUAGUUCGUGGACAAAAAUAGGAAACUUACGGGACUUCGGCAUCACACCAGAAAAAUGUUAAGGACUUAAUUUGAUGCUUCUGCAUUUGUGAGUUCAUCAAGUAACAGGUCAGAUCCUGGGUUAGAACUACAAUACAGCACUAGAAGCGCCAAGAACACAACCAGAAAUGUUUGUGAACUGUAUCUCAAGUGCUUGGGCAACAUGGCAGGUCAAGGCUUACAGGGCAGUUAUGGAUCAGGAGAUUGUACCUGUACUUGAACCAAAGAUCUCUUGGAAAGUCUUCCAUCUGUGAAAUACCCAAGUUCCAUAGAAAAACUUGUCCAAGGAUGGGGUUAUUUUGAUGCUGUGUAUGAAGAAAGACCCAUUGUCAUAUACGAGGACUAAUUUUCGGAUUGGUUAUAAACUCGAAGGAGGAAGAAUUGGUAAAUGCAAGAAACUGAAGUAAAAUGUAAAAUGAGUAAUUAAUUGCACCUAAAUUUUGGAAGAUUGUCAUUGUUGUCGUGCCUUCAGAGAGAAAUGGCUAACUAUAAGUCAGAGUUGGGGUCUUCUCCAGUAUGUGGCUGUUUUCUACAUGAAUGGAGAGUGGUUGUCAUGCUUUAACCGCAAGAAAUGGCUGAUGGAGUACUCGGUCAAUGAACAAUUGUCUAAUGCACAUGGUGGUACUGCUGCAUAUGAAGGUAGUUACUCUCCAAUUCCGGAUCAGUACUUUAAAGCUGAAGCACAUUAAAUGGUACUCUGUGUCACAGCAUCAAUAAUGAUAACCUAAAUAUGGUAAUUUCUCAAAUAUUUUUAUAUACAGUUUUCUAACCUUGUGAAUAAAGAACUAGUCAUAUUCUGUUUUGUUUU